rnacentral:rRNA from 1 species
CCUACGGGUGGCAGCAGUGGGGAAUAUUGGACAAUGGGCGAAAGCCUGAUCCAGCCAUGCCGCGUGUGUGAAGAAGGCCUUCGGGUUGUAAAGCACUUUCAGUGGGGAAGAAAGCCUUGGGGCUAAUACCCUCGAGGAAGGACAUCACCCACAGAAGAAGCACCGGCUAACUCCGUGCCAGCAGCCGCGGUAAUACGGAGGGUGCGAGCGUUAAUCGGAAUUACUGGGCGUAAAGCGCGCGUAGGCGGUCUGAUAAGCCGGUUGUGAAAGCCCCGGGCUCAACCUGGGAACGGCACCCGGAACUGUCAGGCUAGAGUGCAGGAGAGGAAGGUAGAAUUCCCGGUGUAGCGGUGAAAUGCGUAGAGAUCGGGAGGAAUACCAGUGGCGAAGGCGGCCUUCUGGACUGACACUGACGCUGAGGUGCGAAAGCGUGGGUAGCAAACAGGAUUAGAUACCCGAGUAGUC